rnacentral:other from 1 species
UAUUUCCUGGGAUGUACGAUAAUCCUGCUAUUUUGAACCUACAUUAGCAAUUCGGGAGUUCUAUAUUUCAAAGUGGAUGUCAAGCCCUCAUUAUGGCGGGGAAGACAAAAGCUCUGGUGCGGACACCCACCUAACGUGAGUUAGGGAUCAAAAUUCAGGAAACGGCAUAUCCGGGUAUACA